UACGUAGGGUGCAAGCGUUGUCCGGAAUUAUUGGGCGUAAAGAGCUCGUAGGCGGUUUGUCGCGUCUGCUGUGAAAUCCCGAGGCUCAACCUCGGGUCUGCAGUGGGUACGGGCAGGCUAGAGUGCGGUAGGGGAGAAUGGAACUCCUGGUGUAGCGGUGGAAUGCGCAGAUAUCAGGAAGAACACCGAUGGCGAAGGCAGUUCUCUGGGCCGUAACUGACGCUGAGGAGCGAAAGCGUGGGGGAGCGAACAGG
rnacentral:rRNA from 1 species